rnacentral:rRNA from 1 species
GUUCGAUCCUGGCUCAGAUUGAACGCUGGCGGGAUGCUUUACACAUGCAAGUCGAACGGCGGCACGGACUUCGGUCUGGUGGCGAGUAGCGAACGGGUGGUAAUGUCAGGAACGUGCACCCUGAGCUGGCGGGGAUAACUGCGCGAAAGCGGCAGCUAAUACCACAUACGCCCUUCGGGGAAAGCGGGGACCUUCGGACUCGCGCUAUGCGGCAGCCGAUAUCAGUUAGCUAGUUGGUGGGAAAUGCUGGCUCACCAGGGCGACGAUCCGUAGCUGGUUUGAAGGAACGACCAGCCACACUGGGACUGAGACACGGCCCAGACUCCUACAGGAGGCAGCAGUGAAAAUUUGGACAAUGGGGAAACCCUGAUCAGCCAUCCCGCGUGUGCGAUGAAGGCCUUCGGGUUGUAAAGCACUUUUGGCGGGAAAGAAACGGCACGGGAUAAUGCCCGUGCAACUGACCGGUACCUGCAGAAUGGCACCGGCUAACUACGUGCCAGCAGCCGCGGUAAUACGUAGGGUGCAAGCGUUAAUCAGGUUACUGGGCGUAAAGCGUGCGCAGGCGGUUCGGAAAGAAAGAUGUGAAAUCCCAGAGCUUAACUUUGGAACUGCAUUUUAGCUACCGGCUAGAGUGUGUCAGAGGGUGGAAUUCCGCGUGUAGCGGUGAAAUGCGUAGAUAUAGGAGGAACACCGAUGAAGCGAAGGCCAACCUCCUGGGAUAACACUGACGCUCACGUACACGAAAGCGUGGGGAGCAAACAGGAUUAGAUACCCUGGUAGUCCACGCCCUAAACGAUGUCAACUAGCUGUGGGACAUGGGCCUUGGUAGCUACAAGCUAACCGCGUGAGAUUGACCGCCUGGGGAGUACGGUCGCAAGAUUAAAACUCAAAAUUGACGGGGACCCGCACAAGCGGUGGAUGAUGUGGAUUAAUUCGAUGCAACGCGAAAAACCUUACCUACCCUUGACAUGUCUGGAAUCCCGAAGAGAUUUGAGGAGUGCUCGCAAGAGAACCGGAACACAGGUGCUGCAUGGCUGUCGUCAGCUCGUGUCGUGAGAUGUUGGGUUAAGUCCGCAACGAAGGCGCAGCCCUUACGUAAUAGUAGUUGCUACGAAAGGGCACUCUAUGAGACUGCCGGUGACAAAGCGGAGGAAGGUGGGGAUGACGUCAAGUCCUCGCGGCCUGUCGGUGCAGACUACACGUCAUACAAUGGUCGGGACAGAGGUCGCCAACCCGCGAAGGCCGUCCCAGAAACCCGAUCGUAGUCCGGAUCGCAGUCUGCAACUCGACUGCGUGAGUCAGGAAUCGCUUCAUCAAUCGCUUGGAUCAGCAUGUCUCUGUAGUACGUUCCGGGUCUUGUACACACCGCCCGUCACACCAUGGGAAUUAGGUUUUGCAAGAAGUAGUCAACCUAACCGCAAGAGGCGAUUACCACAGUAGGAUUCAUGACGCGGGGUGAAGUCGUAACAAAGGUAA